CAAGGUCGUUUCAUUUUCGUCAGAAAGUUGAAGACAAUUGAUAAUUGAUGUUUAUUUUGUUUUAUUUAUGCAAUUUAAAUUUACAUUAUGAUGUCACAAUUGCAAUUUACAGCGAAAUGGACCCCCCUUUUCUAGUUUUUUACAAAUAAUAUUCUGUAAUAUUUGAACUUAUUUAAUGUGCUGUGCUCUUUUCCAUACAAUAUUGUAAGAACAGUAUAGUUUAUACAUUUUAACCUUCUACUAUUAAUACAGAAUAAUAACUAUAAACUGAAUACACAUAAACAAAACAAAUAUUGAAAAAGGGGGAUCCAUUCCACACGCGCAUGUGACUGCAUUUAACAUGUUUUAUCUUUAAUGAGGUCAAAUUACAGAAUGGGCCCGACCCCCUUCUAUAUUAUAGAUAUCAGUUUGCAUUAACUGAUAAUAGCAAGGUAUAAAUAAGGGCCGGUAUAGCCCACCAGGCUGUAUAUCUCUCCUGUGAUAUGACUAAUUUUCUGGUUUACACCGCUUUUUUUGGGGGGAGAAACCCAUUUAAAAAAAAACAGUACCAUGCCAAAGCAUACUGAAGGUCUAUGUCAAUUUGAUAAUAGGUAUAAACUAUAUAACUAAAAUAUUAUUUGUUUUCUAAAAAAAUCAUUUGUGGGAUUUUGGUGUUAUUUUGUACCGUUAAUUGCAUUGUAAAAAAAAAAUGUGGUUUCCAGUGGCUCUGGUGACUCCAACAGAUUUUACCCCUAUACCUCCUUGUAAAACCAAAGAGAAUAACAAUAAGAGAGACAUUUACAAAUAUGAUUUGAUAAGAUGCCAACUGGUUUUAAAUGAAAUAAGAUAUCUGAAAUAUUUAGAGCAAUCGAUAAAAAGUGAUCUAAGUGUAAGUAAAUGUAUAAACUGGGCAAUCUGCAACCGAUACGAUUUUUGUUCUGAGUAUGCAUGAACUAAUUAUACUGCUAAACGCCAAGAAGGAAAGAAAAUAAAUCAAUCUUUUCUCCUUACAACAUUGUCUAUACAGUUUCUUAGUAAGAUAAUACUUGUAUUAAGAUUUUAAAUAACUUCAUUGUCAAAAAUUAUACGAUCGGUUACUGCAUUUAAUUUGGACAUAUUUCAGAACAAUCAUGCAUGUAUAGUAACAUCUAGAGUUUCCACAUAUUUCCUUUUCUUCAAUGUAUGCACUAACCAUGCACUAUAAAUCGAAAAUAAAUAUUGAUUAUCAUUGAGUGACCUUGCACAGAAGACCAGGAUGUACGUUGUUUUAAAGUCCAGUCUUUGCAUGGGGCUUUACCUUUGUAUUGAUAACAUAUAAUGUGCAUAUUUCCGUAUGGCAGUUUAUUCGGUUAUUCUAGACUACAAAUAUAUUUUUUCGUACGGCUCCAUUCCUGAUAACGAUUGUGAUGAUGUUUUUCAAGUGCGCAUUUAGGGGCAACGCAGGGGACCCGGCCCCAUUAUGGAGCUAUAUAUAAAUAUAUAUAAAUGUAAUGCAUAGACUUUUAACAUGUCCGACUCCAAACAUUUUCUAGUUUGUGGCCUUCUUUCUAAUUGUUCUGGUUACAAUCCUAUACCGUUUUAGGUCAUGCAGCUCUUCAUUACUAUCCGACUUUUAUAGUUAUUAAGAUGAGCACAUACACCACUGCUCCAUGUUAUGGUAACGUUGGCGCGCUCGUAAACAUCUUUAAACCCGUCACAUUCUGUAUUUGCUUGGCUAAAGCCAGGAACCAUGCAGUUACGUAAUCUUGACCUGACUUUAGGUACAAAUUCGAUUUAGUAACACCUAAGCAUGGAAAGCAGAUACUAAAAGCAUCUGGCCUUGAAGUUCUUUCUGAUUCGAAGUGAGAUCCGUUCUAUGGGAAAUGAUUACGCAUACUUUACGGUUCCGAUAUACCUUUUUUUCCGUGUCCAAUUUCAGUUUAUAAACAAACGUCACGUCAGACCCAUAUGCAAAGUUGGGAGCUCGAGAAUUACAACGUCGUCUCCAUGCGAACCAUAACUGAUGGAUGAAGUCACCAGUGAAAUGUUAAUGGGUUCCCUCGCCCUACCCUUAUAAAACUACAUAUAUAUGGCAUACACAUUAUCUCAGUCCCAGUCAUAAUGCUGCCUUUCUUUAACCAGGCUCAUUUUCAAAAUCCUAGAAAUAAUUGAAAUCUAUCUAAAUCGUUCCAUUUUCUAGAUUUGCUCUGUGGCAAAACUUUGCGGAUAACCAGGAAAAUG
rnacentral:lncRNA from 1 species